rnacentral:rRNA from 1 species
CAAGGAGAAUGCCUUGGCACUGGGAGCCGAUGAAAGACGUGAUAAGCUGCGAUAAGCUUCGGGGAGCUGCAAAUAAGCAUUGAUCCGGAGAUUUCUGAAUGAGGAAACUCACCUGGGUUCAUACUCAGGUACAAUACACUGAAAUUCAAAAUAGGUGUAUUGAGGGAACCGCCUGAACUGAAACAUCUAAGUAGGGCGAGGAAGAGACAUCAAACGAGAUUCCGUAAGUAGUGGCGAGCGAACGCGGAAGAGGGCAAACCGAGAGUAGAAAUACUUUCGGGGUACGGACUGCUUUUAAGACUUAAUCUGUUAACCGAACGGCAUGGGAAGGCCGGUCAGAGAGUGUGAGAACCACGUAGGUGAAAACGGAGAGAGCUGCGCAGGAUCCAGAGUACGGCCAGACACGUGAAACCUGGUCGGAAUACGGGGGGACCACCCUCCAACCCUAAAUACUACCCAGUGACCGAUAGCGUAUAGUACUGUGAAGGAAAGGUGAAAAGCACCCCGGGAGGGGAGUGAAAAAGAACCUGAAACCCUGUGCCUACAAGCACCUAGAGCGCGUCAAAGCGUGAUAGGGUACUUUUUGUAGAACGGUCCGGCGAGCGAUUGUAUGCAGCAAGGUUAAGGACUUAAGGUCUGGAGCCGAAGCGAAAGCGAGUUUGAAAAGGGCGUUAAGUUGCAUAUAAUGGGCCCGAAACCGGGUGACCUACCCAUAGUCAGGUUGAAGUGGAAGUAAAAUUCCA